rnacentral:rRNA from 1 species
GAAACCUUUAUUUGGUUUAUUUAAGUUGAGAUUAUUUAAAAGUUAUUUUUUGUUUAAAAUUAUUUUUAUAAAAUAAAUUUAAACUUAGACCGUGAGGGGUUGAAAGGAAUUUUUAUGGAAGAAAAUUUUUUUAUUGUACCUUUUGUAUCAGGGUGAAUUAAUUUUUGUUAAUAAAUUUAGGUUUCCCGAAAGUUUAAGAUCUUAAAUCUAUUUGGUUUUAAUUGUAACAAAAAUUUUAAAAAAAUUUUUUAAGAUUUGAAAUGAAAAUCGUUUAAUCUGAUAUCUGGUUAUUUUGUUAAUAAAUUUAAUUUAGGUGAUUUAAUUUUAAUAUUUUUUUUUCCCCUAAAUUUUUUUCACUAAUUUAAAUUGGGUUAAUCUAAUUUAAUUUUUAUAAUUUAAUUGGAUAAGAAAAUUGUAGGAUUAAAAUUUUUUUUCUAUAUAAAUUUGUUUUAAAAUAUUUUUUUUUUAAUUUUAUAUUUAAUUUAAAACAAAAUUAAUUAAUUAAAUUAUCAAUUUUAUUAAUUAUGAUUUAAUUAGUAAAUUUAUGGUAAAUAUUGAUUUUAUGAAUUCAGCAUAUAAACUUCUGACUGUUUAUCAAAAACAUUUCUUUCAGAAAUUUAUUUAUUGAAAGUUUGACCUGCUCAAUGAAUUUUUUAAAUAGCUGCAGUAAUUUAACUGUACAAAGGUAGCAUAAUAAUUAGUCUUUUAAUUGAGGUCUAGAAUGAAUGGUUUAACAAGAAGUAAACUUUAUUAAUUCAAUUAAGUGAAAUUUAUUUUUUAGUUAAAAAGCUAAAAUUUAAAAAUGGGACGAUAAGACCCUUUAGAUCUUUAAAUUUUAAUUAAAUAACAAUAUUAAUGUGGAUAUAAUUUUUAUUUUAAAGAAUUUUUUGUUGGGGUGACAGCUAAAAUUUUAAACCUUUAGUGUUUUAUACCAUUUUUUCAUGUAAUUUUGAACCUUAAUUUAGGGUUAAUAAAAUAAGAUACCUUAGGGAUAACAGCAUAAUAAAUUUGUAAAGUUCAUAUAUAUAAAUUUGAUUGUGACCUCGAUGUUGAAUUAAUCUAGAAUUCUGGGGCAGAAAAUAGAAUUUUAGGUCUGUUCGACCUUUAAAAGAUUACAUGAUUUGAGUUCAAACCGGCGUGAGCCAGGUUGGUUUCUAUCUAUUUUAAUUCAUAAUUUAUUAGUACGAAAGGACUUUAAAGUUAGAAACAUUUUCU